UCUAUGCAUCAGAGUCUCAAUUUCUAUUGCAGACUGUGUUUACUUAGUGAAGUCCCAGCCUUCUUGGAGUGCUGAAUUCUGGUCUGAGAGACACCAAUCCACCUGUGGACCACAUUUAUCUACAACAGCCUUUUUAAAAAAAAUCUUCUGACUGCCUCUGGGUGUGAGAUUCAGAGUGCACUAUGUUGAUGUAGGAGGUUGAUCAUCUUUACUUUCAGCUUUGUGUUCAUAUGAGUGUCACAAUCUCACGUGUCUGCUGGGCCCUGUGAAAACAUUCUCUGUGCCAACUGAUGGCAUUAUACAGUGUGCAUUAGUGUCACAAUUCACGCUUAGAAAUUCAUGCUGGAAUGGAUCAGUGAUGGUACCUGUAGCCCUAAGCCAAGAUAUGGGAGUCAACAUAACUCCAGUUAGCUCGGUCCAGAUAGGAGAGUCCCGCCUAUGAGUGGAUUUAGAAAUGAGUUACCAGACUGCCAAGCUGGGCAUCGGGGAGAUGGCUGAGACUGACCCCAAGACCAUGCAGGACCUCAGCUUGGUGGUGCAGAUACUCCGGCAGCAGAUGCAAGAUAAAUUUCAGACCUGCAUCUGCUGCAGGAGCAGAUUGGGAGAAUUAAUGAUACGAGUAGUCGCACUGACGAUCUGGAGAAGAACAUCGCAGACCUCAUGACACAGGCUGGGGUUGAAGAACUGGAAGGUGAAAACAAAAUAUCUGCCACACACGAGUUGAAGGUUGCUAAUAAUAUGUACUGGAAUUUCGAACACCAUCUUUCCAAGCCAAGAGAAGAUUGAAUGGCUUUUUCAGCUAACUACUAUGUGUAGACAGGUUUUAUAUUAUAAAGUAUGCAUUCCUAUCACAUACUAUAUAGUUAGUUUAUAGAGUGAUUUACCCCCCAGUUUCUUGAACAUGGUAUCUUUACAUCUUGCACCUUGGUCAGUUGUGCUAUUCAUUAUUAAACACUAAAACUUUGGCAGUUCCUGAAAAAAAAAAAAGAAAAAAAGAAA